ensembl:lncRNA
AUUGGGGCCAUCCUUACUGCUGAAGCAAUGCAGAUGUCGUAAUUUAUGAUUUCUUCUCCUGAGGGUUAGACUACAUUCUGGUCUCCAUUUUAACAUUCCUCUGGAUUCUUCAGAAGACAGUAGCAAAAAUAAAGCCUUUUCUGGAGUGUGUUAAAGAUCCAGAUCCUCAGCCAGUGUAAACCCAUUACCUGCCUUAAAGCUAAGUCAAUUUACACCAACUUUGGAUCUAGCCAAAUGCUUUUUUAAAUGACUGUGGCAAUAUAUUGCGUGGAUGCAUAAUUAUCUUUCAAAUCAGUUUUAGUGCCUCAACAACAAAACCAGCAAAUUGCCAUGAAAAGGGAAAUUUAUAUACACUUUUUGUUUGUUUGUGUGUAUGUGGGUUUUUUCACUGAUACUUAUACCUCUUUUACAGAUCAGCUGUAUUGGGCAUGAAUUUCAGCUUUUCUGUUUUUCACCCAAAUCCAUAUGGCUGCCAAUCCUCAGGCCUAGCCUCCAGCAGUAUGCAGCCUACUUGGGCUUAUCCCCUGGGAGAGGAGCGAGUUUCAGCAGUGAAGAAGAAACAUCAGUGAUGCCUCCACCCCAGCCAAGCUGGCUUGUCCCUUGCCCAAGAUCUCGCUCCCAAAGGGCUCUUUCUCUUGUUGUUGUUUUUCUUUGAAACGCCUUCAUGUUAAGCUGGCUAAUUAUGAGACUCUCCUGACGUCUCACAUUGACCCUGGGCCAUGCUCCAGGAGUAACUGCCCAAGCCAGCCAAUCAUCCCAAGCCUGCUGCUCAUUAAAUGAAGCAUGAGGCAGUGGGAUCUCCAAAAGGCCUGGCCAUGAUGAGAACUGGGCAGGGCAUGAGAGAGAAAAGCCGCACACUAAUGGAUUAAUGAUUUAUUCUCCUGAUGUUAACAUUAAAGUUAUGAUCCACUUUCUACUAAAUCACAGCUAAUGUUAGCAGCAGAUGCAUCCUAUUAGAACAUGCAGUCCAGCCUUUGCCUGUGGGGGAUUGUCCCAUACAAUAGCUAUUCCAGUGCUAGACACAAUUAAAUUUUAUAAUAAUUUUUUGGUAAUUGUCUCUGUUUGUGUAUAUACGUAACGCUCAUCGGAGGGACACGUCUGUAUUAUGUCUGUAUUAUGUAGAUUUUGUUAUCUAGAGGCUCCAACUGUGAUCACGGCCCCAUUGUGCUAGCCACUGUACAGACGCACAGUGAGAGACAGUGCCUGGCUCAACAAAACUUGCUGUCCAAUAACUAGGGCAGAAUUAUUGCCUCCAGUUGACAGAUGGGUAAUGGAGGCACAGGGAAGUUAAAUGGCGUGAGAUAAGGUCACACAAGAAAUUCUGUGGCAGGACUUGGAACUGAACUCCAAUCUCCUGAGUAUCAGUCUAGUGUCACAACUACAAGUCACUCCUUCAAACAGCAGAGUGCACCUCUACGACAGCUUAUAAAUGCUAAUUAAUAUGUUAAAAUGAACUGUUCCUGAGUUAUCAAGGAACCAAGAAUUAUUUACAGAAGUUAUUCCAUGAACAAUUUUGAGUAACAAAUUAAAGGAAAGCUGAAACUGCUGGCAAUUUGUGAACACAAAACAAGGAGAUGAAUUCAUUGAAUAAGUCAGAGGUUCUCCACCAUUUUACGUUGUGGACUACAUCUUUAAAGAGUGAUUAUUUCUUGGACCCUGUCCUCUCUGAUUGGCUGUCAUGCAGCCCACCACUCUUCAUGGUCUCAUAACAUUUCUCUGGCAGCUACAGUAAUAACCUAUGUAUAACUGUAACAUUAGGACAUUAUUUCAUGUAUCUGUAGCUGUCUUUUAAUAGAAUUCAGUAGUUGCAAAAAGGCAGGAGGAGCCCGGACCAUGUGACCAGCCAGUUCUGCACAGAUCACAGUUUGGGAACCACUGAACUAGUCACUGUGAGUUAUUAAUUCAUCUCUGCUAAGAAGGCUGGUAUGAGUUCCAUUACAUAAACUGAUAAUGACGUUUGUCCCUUCAUUACCUAUGAUUAGGCAGUAUGGGAUCUGAGUCUGUUCGUGCAUUUUGCUGCAGGUUAGGCAGGUGAUAAUGAAGUCCAUGUUGUAGAAAUGGCUACUGUUGGAGUGCAAAGGAUUUAAGGUAGAAUAUUGUUAUGAGUUGGGUUAAACCUUGUUAUGAGUUGAAUUAAAACUGCACCGAAACUGGUGUACAAAUGUGCCCUUCACUUAAGUUUGCUAUAAGGGACAGUUAUGGAGUCAUACCUAAAACAAGGCCUAUUCAUCAUCGGCAGUACAUGCAAUGUGCCCAGCCAUUUAAUGGCGUCAUCAUCAACCAGGUGAAGAGCUGUAGCCAGCCGUCAAAAUAAGUCAGUGGGCACUCGACCCUGAUAUGCAACAUAGUCUGAAGUUGACUACAGCUGCAUCGCGGGUCAUUAGAUAAACAUCAUUUAAAGAGACUGUCCAUACAGUUACCCUGUCCUGUUCGAAAUCGGUUCGGAGACAACCACAGGUGCCUGGGCAGAUCAAAACCUGGUAGACAGGAGGCCUAAUAGGGGAUGUCUACGCUGCAAUAAAAAACCUGUGGCACUGAGUCUCA